rnacentral:lncRNA from 10 species
UUUUGAGACGUUUCACUCUUGUUGCCCAGGCUGGAGUGCAGUACCGUGACCUCAGCUCACUGCAACCUCUGCCUCCCAGGUUCAAGCGAUUCUCCUGCCUCAGCCUCCUAAGUAACGGAUUACAGGCAUGCACAACCAUGCCCCACUAAUUUCUGUACUUUUAGUGGAGACGGGGUUUCACCCUGUUAGUAAGGCUGGUCACAAACUCCUGACCUCAGGUGAUUCACCUGCCUCGGCCUCCCAAAGUGCUGGGAUUACAGGUGUGAGCCACUGCUCCUGGCCAAGGGCAGAAACUCUUACACCUUGUUCACUGCUGUUUCCUGGGCACCUAUUAUAGUGCCUGGUAUAUAGUAGGUGCUCAGUAAGUGUUUGUUAGGGACUGAUGCGUUGGUUCAAGCCUGUAAUCCUGUUGCUUUGGGAGAUGGGGGCCAGAGGAUUGCUUGUGCCCAGGAAUUCAGGGCCAGCCUGGGAAACAUAGUGAGACCCUGUCUGUAGAAAAAAUAAUAAGCUGGCCAGGCGUGGUGGCUCACGCCUGUAAUCCCAGCACUUUGGGAGGCCAAGGUCUGCAGAUCACCUGAGGUCAGGAGUUCAAGACCAGCCUGGCCAACAUGGUGAAACCCCAUCUCUACUGAAAAUACAAAAAUUAGUCGGGCAUGGUGACACACACCUGUAAUUCAAGCUACUCGGGAGGCUGAGGAAAGAGAAUCGCUUGAACUCAGGAGGCAGAGGUUGCAGUGAGCCGAGAUCAUGCCACUGCACUCCAUUCAGCCUGGGCGACAGAGCAAGACUCCGUCUGAAAAAAAAAAAAAGAAAAAGAAAAACUAAUAAACUUAGCCAGGUGUGGUGUUACAUGGCUGUAAUCCCAACUACCUGGGAGGCUGAGGUGGGAGAAUCACUUGAGCCCAGUUGAUGGAAGCUGUAGUGAGCCAUAAUCACCUCGCCGUACCUCAGCCUGUGUGACUUAGGGGGACUCUGUCUCAAAAAAAGUAAAAAAAAGAAAAAGAAAAAAGAAAUAUUCAUUGGGGAAAAGAAGAGUGAACAAGCAAAGUUUCAGGAGAGUACUGUGAAUGUGGGUCAUGUCAGUAAAGUGUAGGGACUUGGGCAGGAGCGGCUGGACUUGAAGAGCAGGUUGGUGGAGACCAGGUCAUUUAUCCUAAGAAGUUUGCCCUGUAGCAUGUAGAUUAAAUAUCCCACGUUGGCUGCUGGCAACUGAACUGGGCUUCCUGUUUCUGUGUUUGGUUUGACCAUCACAGUGUUGAAGAACUGUUGAAGUGAAUACCUUGCAGUUUGCUACAGUUUCCCCCGGUCUCCCACAUUACUCUGGCCUCCUUACCUCAUGUAGGUUGCCUGACCCUCUGAGACCUGUGUUUGCUGUUCCUGCAGAUGGGUGGGUAUGAGGUGAUUUAAGGAGGAAGAUUUAAUAUAUGAGUUGUAGAAAGAUAAAUAGACUGGGCGCAGUGGCUAAAGCCUGUAAUCCCAGCACUUUGGGAGGCCAAGGCAGAAGGAUUAGUUUGACCCAGGAGUUCAAGACCAGUCUGAGCCACAUAGCGAGACCCCCUCUCUACAAAAAAUUUAAAAAUUAGCCAGGCAUGGUGGCAUGCACCUGUAAUCCCAGCUACUCGGGAGGCUGAAGUGGGAGGAUAGCUGGAGCCCAGGAGUUGAGAAAGCUGCAGUAAGUGGUGAUCUCGCCACUGCACUCCAGUCUGAGUGACAGAGUGAGACCCUAUCUCAGGAAGAAAAAAAAAAAAAAAAAAAAGCAAGAGAGAUAAAUAGAUCCACCAUUAGUGGGAGUGUGCUUUUGAGUGCUCUUUAGGAGAAAAAUUUAUUUUAAUAUUUUUUCUUCUUUAUAUUUUUUAUAUUCUAGCAAGCCAUUUCUUCAACAAGGAGAAAUUAAUUUCAUCCAAAGAGCCCUAAGAGCAAGGGCAGACUCAGAAAAUCAGAGGCACUGUAGUCAGUUUGAGCAGCUUAUGUCUUCAGACUGCUAAGCUGGCCAGUGCCAGGCUGGGUCCCUUUAAUUUCUCAAACACAAAUCGCCCUGCUGGAAUCUCAAGUUGGAUCUGCAGUAGAUCACCAUUAACUCAGCAGCUUGCUUUGUUGUGAGUCCUUAUGCCAGGAACUGUGCGGGAUACAAAAUGUAAGAGAAGGCUGGAAUAGAGCAUCUCCUGGGGAAAUGAGAGCCAGAGAUACAGCGGUGCCCCAUGGAGACAGCCAGCUGGUGUUUGGUAGUUCCUUGUGGAAAGGCUGUACUUUGGUAAGGUCUCCAUAUCUGCAGUGUGGCCUUCAAUAUUGUAGGUCCCCAAACUCCAGGUUUUUACAUUCGCUGCAUAGCUCAGGGUCGUAGGGAGUGAUUCAUCCUAGCAGAACUCUGGUUUUUAAGGCAGGCGUUCCAUUUAUUAAUUGACAAAGGAGGCAUAUUUCUCCUUUAGUAACCUGAUGAUUUAGGUCCUUUCUUCAGGGACUCCCUUUCCACAUAAAGGUUCUUGGAAAACUAAGCAGAGUAUGAGGAAAAGGCUGUGAACAAGCUUGCUGGUCCCUCCCUGUCCUAAAAAAGAGCAUACCUCUUCUGUAACCAGAAAACCCUUUUCACUAGUCAAGGCUGUGCAGACUGAGAUGAAAGUGUGUGUGUGUGUGUGUGUGUGUGUGUGUGUGUGUGUGUGUGGACAGGGUCUCACUCUGUCACCCAAGCUGGAGUGCAGUGGUGAGAUCAGAGCUCACUGCAGCUUCCACUUUUGCAGCUUCCACUUUCCUCCUCCCACUUCAGCCUGCAGAGUAGCUGGGACUAUAGGACUGUGCUACCACACCCAGCUCAUUUUCUAAUUUUUCGUAGAGAUGAGGUUUCACUGUGUUGCCCAGGCUGGUCUUGAACUUCUGGCCUUACGGGAUCCUCCUGCCUUAGUCUCCCAAUAGGCUGGGAUUAUAGGUAUGAGCCACUUCACCUGACCUGUGAUGAGUUUUCAACAAUGUGAUUCCUCUUUUACAGAACCACCUAAGCUAAAGAUUCUUUUGAGAACAAGGGCUAGCCUGUGGUUUCAUGGCCUUUCUUCCAUUUGGGGUUCUUGCCAAGUGGAAUUUAAAUGACCUCUUAUCAAGAUGGAUAAACCCAAGUUUCCCAGUGCUGGAAUACAGAAAAUGGAUGGACAAGUAAGUCCCACUCAGCACCCAUAGCCCAGACAUGGGGACCUCAACACACCUGGGCCCCAGACAUCACCUUUCAUUGUGGGUAGCUCAGAGAUGACACUUUUGGUUGUUAAGUGCCCACUGGCAAUAGUUUCUAUAACAGCAAGUGAAGGAAUAAAUAGUCACCAAAACAUUUUCUGUUCCCAAUUCCAACAUUAAUUGGGUGAGAUAAUUAUUUUAUGAAGAAUUGUCA